rnacentral:lncRNA from 1 species
AUGAAGUCUGCAGAUUGUAUUAUGCAAUGUGGACCACUGGCCUAUGCAACCUGUUCCAGCUGGUUCAUGUCAGGCUUUUUUAAGUCCAAAAAACGGAUUGGAGCCAGGCCAUUGAAAAUCUCAAAGCACAGAAGAAAACUUUCAUGUGGUGACAUCUUAUUGACAGCAGCAUUUGUGUCUUACUUUGGAACCUGCAUAAAACAACAUCACCAGGACCCAAAGGGACAUUUCUGGAUUACUUCUCUAAAGGCUCCUUUUUCUGUGACAGAAGGCCUGGACCCAGUUCACCACAUUGAGGGAUGA